GCUGAGGCCACACAGUGAGGAAGAGUCAAGCUUCACUACAGAGGCUUGAACAGAAGUCAGGCUGGUGCCUGUAGAGCACUGGGCACUGUGUGGAAAUCUCACCUCCUUUCAACAGUUUUCUUCUCUAGUCAUCGUGUCUGUGUUCCUACCUGUAACCUCUUCCUGUGCCUACUUGGGUUUGGUUCUGGAGCCAUUGGCCUUGCCCAAGAUGUGUUCUUGGCUGCUCCUGUCCCUGUCAGGCCCUCUCUGUUUUUACCCUGUUCUUAAGAGUAUGUGGCUCACAUGGAAACACACAGUAUCCUAAUAGUUUGUUUUUUGUUGCUGUGAGAAAACACUGAUGAAAAGCAGCUUGAGGAGGAAAAUGGUUUAUUCCGUGAUGGGGAAAUCCUUGUGUGUAUAUGUUUAUCUUAUUGGUUGAUAAAUAAAGCAUUGUUGGCCAAUAGGGGAGCAAGUUAGGUGGGACUAGGAGUUGAGGAGGAUUCUGGGAAAUGUAGUAGAGACAGCAGCCACCACGUGAUCACCAGGAAGACAGGAUAUAUUCCACCAGCGUGCUCAAUAAGAUAAGUUUAUAAAAUAUAUAGAUUAAUAGUUAUGGGUGAUACUUAAGACAGAGUUAGCAAAUAAAUCUUUGUCAUUGGCCAGAGGCACUGUACCUAAUAUAAGACUCAGUGUGUUAUUCUGGACGCCCACGUGGCGGCGGGGCUCGGGUGACGUAGCAGAAAGAUUUAUCAUUACCAAAUGGUGUCAGGACAUGGUUUUAUGAACUUCCACAUAAAAACUUCACAAAAACUUAAAAAGGGAAUUUAGAAGCAAAGGAACAGAGACAAGCACUACUUCUUGGUAGUGGUAUUUUCUCGGGUAGUCUCUGUUUUGCUAGAGACAAGCAGAUACUCAAGUGGCUCCUUUAAGAGAGGCUUCCUGACUCAGCAUAAUUGGAAAAAAAAGAAAACAAAAACAAAAAACCACAGGGCUCUUGCUAACAAUUGAAUGGACAGGUUACUUGGGAGAAGAAUUUCUACUUACGUUUCCACAUAAAAUGGAAAGCUGUGGAUUCCUUCCAGACUAAUUUGGUUUGAUCAAGCAAGACCCCCUGAAGCAGUGGCCCAACCGAUCCUACAUCCAAAACAGCUGAGACGAUGCAGCCUUGCAGACUACAAAAACAAGGAACUGGCCUGAUUUCUGUGUUUUAUCAUGAUCCCCCAUGGUGUGGACAUCACCCCCAACCAGCAGGAAGCAGUUUGGAACGAACGAUGCCCAAGUUCCCAAAUAUUGUUUAUAAAUGUUUGUUUUCAUUUAAAUAGGGUUGGUUAUAAAUGGUAAUGAUCACAGUCAAUCUCUUUUUAAAGGAAAAAAGGGGAAUAGAAUAUAGAAAUGAAUACAUUGGUAUGGAUUUUCAUUUAUUGAUACAAAUUUAAGGUUAAUUUUGUUAUAUGUAAAUUUCUCCUCUUGUUUGGUAUUGUGUUUAUACAGAUCUUUUAAAAUGUAAUGUAUAAUUAAAUGCAAAUUAUAUAGUCACCUAUAAUAGUCAGAACUUAUAAUUAGGUUAGUUAGGUUUUCUAGCUAUAGAGAGAUGUGUUUGAGAUGGAUAGACAAAGACCUACAGAAUAUAUGGCAUUUAAAUGGUUUAGGGUUUUUCAUGGCAGUGAGACACAACUGCUCCUGGCACACCAAUUACAUCUGAGAGGAAGAUGGGCAUUGAAGAAACUCAUUAUGGAGUUUGCUUUCAAUGUGGCAAGAUUAGCCAUUUGGGCAAGAAACUGCUCUUGUCUGGACUGUUUGAUAAACUGGACAUGCAGGACCCACAGGAAAGUGACUGCUGAACUUAGAAAACAAGAUGGAAAGUUGUGAAGAGUCCCUGCUUCAAGGAAGCAUCUGCCAGACAUUCUGCAGGACACAGAGGAAAUUGGCUGACAAACUGCCAAUACAGGUGGACAGUUUAAAAUUUCCUGCUUCACUGAGAAGUCUGCCAGACAUACUGUGGCCUAUAGACUGAAGACAGGAUAAAUUCCAUCAGUGUGCCCCAACGUUACAAAGGAACUUCGGGUCACUGUCCAGGCAGCGAGAUAUCUCUGUCAGUUCUAGAGUUUAUUUAUUAUCCUUCUGUGGUCUUUGUUGGAGUUGAAGACAGAUAGUUAUGGUUAUAGUUUUCUUUAGUUAUUAUAAAAGAUAAGCUACAUAUAAGACUUUAGACUCACAAAGAUGGGAUAGAUGAUAGAAUAUUUUCUUUAAAUCUUGCUAAAUGUUAAUGGACUAAAUAUUGUAACUAUAGUUCUUACUUGAUAACUGUUUUGUUAUAUAUUUUACUAUGUUAAUGUUAACACCCUUCUUUUUACUUAGACAGAAAAGAGAAAAUUAUGGGGGAGGUCCUUGUGUGUAUAUGUUUGUCUUAUUGGUUGAUAAAUAAAGCACUGUUGGCCAAUAGGAGAGCAAGUUAGGUGGGACUAGGAGUUGAGGAGGAUUCUGGGAAAUGUAGUAGAGACAGCAGCCACCAUGUGAUCACCAGGAAGACAGGAUAUAUUCCACCAGUGUGCUCAAUAAAAUAAGUUUAUAAAAUAUAUAGAUUAAUAGUUAUGGGUGAUACUUAAGACAGAGCUAGCAAAUAGGAAAUCUUAGUCAUUGGCCAGUAGCAUUGUACCUAAUACAAGACUCUGUGUGUUAUUUUGGACACCCACAUGGCGGCAGGGCUUGGGCAGCUUGGCAGAAAGAUUUAUCAUUACAAUUCCGUCUUACAGCAUACUGUCCAUCAUCCAGGGAAGCUAAGGCAAACCCAGAGGCAAGAACAGAAGCAGAGGCCAUGGAGGAUAAUGCUCACUGGCUGCCUCAGCUUGUUCACUUAUACAAGCCAGGGCCACCUGCCAGGGGUCACACUAUCCACAUCAAUCAUUAAUCAAGAAAAUGCCCCCCUCAGACUUGCUCACUGGCCAAUCUGAUGGAGGCAACCCCUCAAGGAAGGGGUCCACUUUCCCAGGCAUCAGGUUGAAAAAACCAACCAGCACACACAGGCUAUCAAAUGCAUGGCUAAUUCUACAUGAGAAGUCCACCAACUAUAUGUUAAGAGUUGUCUUUGUCAUGGUCUGUGGUUUAGAGCACUUAAUUGCUCUUGCAGAGGGCCCAAGUUCGAGUCCCAGCACCCACAUGGUGGCUCAAAACUGUCUGCAACUCCAGUUCCAAGGGAUCCAGUGCCCUCCCCUGACCUCUGUGAGCAGCAGCUUGGUCCUUUCCUGCAGCCUUCCUGCCAGAGCACAUCCAUCAUCCGCAAACAUCUCAUCGCUCUCCCGCCACAGGAAGCGACCUGUGUCCUGUUGCCCCUCAGCCAAAGCACCUGCCAGGCUGCAUUAGGAGAGAGGCCAGCAUGGGACAUUUAGGAGAUUACUGAAGAUUGAACCCAGAGACCCAGCAGGGAUGAAGACUUUCCCUCUUCCUCCAGUGAACUUCAGGCCCAGAGCACUUAUAGCAGCUGAGGCUACAUUGUCAUCACCCAUCCUUCCAGACAGAUGAGGUGGCCUGCUGUGGAGAGCCACAGCCCUAAGAUGGCACUUGGCUGGAUGCCAGGAGCUUAGCUGUAAACAAGCCUUAUUUGGAAGUGCUUGAGGCAUCUGGCGCACUUCCUCCUUCUGUGGCCUAUCCGGGAUUGCCAGAUGGCAUGAGCUGACUGGGCACUGAGCAUCUACUUAAGGGCUUGCGGGGGCUGGGAGAAGAGAGAAGCUGAUGUACAAGGUUCCUGAAUAAACGGCUUGAAGAAG
rnacentral:lncRNA from 1 species